ACUCCCGCCCACGAAAGACGCCGCCGCCGCCGCCGCCGGCAAGGGCGACGACAAAAAGCCCAAAGAGCCUCCGGAGUCGACGGUGAUGCUCAAGAUCCGGCUCCACUGCGAGGAGUGCAUCGACCGAAUUAGGGUUUCUUCUUUUCUUUUCUUUUUUUUAAUGUGAAGUUAAAUAUUAAUAAUAAUUAGCGGUUGUACGGCGCAGGGUGAAGGAGGUGACGGUCGACACGGCGAAGGACCUAAUCACGGUGAAGGGCCACUUGCUUGAUCAAUUUUAUGAAGUUUCAUGCUUUUUGUCUUCUGUAAUGAUAUUUGAAGUGUAGGUGAAUGAUUGUUUCUAGAUUGUACAGCACCUUUGAUAGUUUCAAAAGUGAUAGUUACUUCUGAACAUACCAAAACAUGUAAGUCAUCUCUCUUAAGUAAAAUACAUUAUUAGGUCAUGACUUCAGAUA